ensembl:lncRNA novel transcript
GGUUUCUCAUUCUCUCUUUGCCUGCUGCCAUCCAUGUAAGAUGGGACUUGCUACUCCUAGACUUCCACCAUGAUUGUGAGGCUUCUCCAGCCACGUGGAACUACCAAUACGCCAACCAGCAAUGACCCUUCUCAAUCAAAAUGGCUUCUAAUAGGGUCCUUCCAGUUUGAAGGCAAAGUGUGCAACAUUGUUUAAAUGGUGAUAUUGUAGGAAACUAUACCACAAACAGAAUCAAGUGCAUGAAGCCUGCUUCCGCUUUCCCUGCCCUGGGACAUCAGACUCCAGGUUCACCAGCCUUUGGACUUGCACCAGCAGCUUCCCGGGGAAUCUCAGGACUUCAGCCACAGACUGAAGGCUGCCAUGUCGGCUUCCCUGGUUUUCCGGCUUUCAAACUCGGACUGAGCCAUUACUGGCUUCUCUCUUUCCCCAGCUUGCAGAUAUCCUAUCAUAGGACUUCACCUUGUAAUCGUGUCAGUUAAUUCUCCCUAACUGACUCCCUUUUAUAUAUACAUAUAUCCUACUGGUUCUGUCUCUCUGGAGAAGCCUAGUACAUGCCAUUUUAAAAAUGUACAUGUGUGUACAUGUAUAGUUCUGUGCAAUUUUAUCUUGUGUAUAGAUUCAUGUAACUACCACCACAAUCACAAUAUAUAACUGUUCCAUUAUCACAAAAGAACUCCCUCACACUGACUGCCUCUUUGUAUUUCUACUUACUCCCCCAUUCAUUUUCCCCAGGCCCUGUCCCCUGGAAAUUAUUCAUCUGUUCUCUAUCUCUGUAAUUUUGUCAUUCAAGUAUGUUAUAUAAAUGGAAACAUAC